rnacentral:rRNA from 1 species
UACGGAGGGAGCUAGCGUUGUUCGGAAUUACUGGGCGUAAAGCGCGCGUAGGCGGCUUUGUAAGUUAGAGGUGAAAGCCCGGAGCUCAACUCCGGAACUGCCUUUAAAACUGCAUCGCUUGAAUCCAGGAGAGGUGAGUGGAAUUCCGAGUGUAGAGGUGAAAUUCGUAGAUAUUCGGAAGAACACCAGUGGCGAAGGCGGCUCACUGGACUGGUAUUGACGCUGAGGUGGCGAAAGCGUGGGGAGCAAACACGG